UACGAAGGGGGCUAGCGUUGUUCGGAAUCACUGGGCGUAAAGCGCACGCAGGCGGAUUGAUAAGUCAGGGGUGAAAUCCCGGAGCUCAACUUCGGAAUUGCCUUUGAUACUGUCUGUCUUGAGUCCGGGAGAGGUGAGUGGAAUUCCUAGUGUAGAGGUGAAAUUCGUAGAUAUUGGGAAGAACACCGGUGGCGAAGGCGGCUCACUGGCUCGUAACUGACGCUCAGGCGCGACAGCGUGGGGAUCAAACAGG
rnacentral:rRNA from 1 species